rnacentral:rRNA from 1 species
AGAGUUUGAUCCUGGCUCAGGAUGAACGCUAGCGAUAGGCUUAACACAUGCAAGUCGAGGGGCAGCAUUAUUUUAGCUUGCUAAGAUAGAUGGCGACCGGCGCACGGGUGCGUAACGCGUAUGCAACCUGCCUGUAAUUAGGGAAUAACCCGGUGAAAGUCGGACUAAUACCCUAUAUUCUUCUUUCUCCGCAUGGAGGAGGACGGAAAGAUUUAUUGAUUACAGAUGGGCAUGCGUCCCAUUAGCUGGUUGGUAAGGUAACGGCUUACCAAGGCAACGAUGGGUAGGGGGACUGAGAGGUUGACCCCCCACACUGGUACUGAGACACGGACCAGACUCCUACGGGAGGCAGCAGUGAGGAAUAUUGGUCAAUGGGCGAGAGCCUGAACCAGCCAAGUCGCGUGAAGGACGACGGUUCUAUGGAUUGUAAACUUCUUUUGUAGAGGAAUAAUGGCAGCUACGUGUAGCUGAGAUGCAUGUACUCUACGAAUAAGUAUCGGCUAACUCCGUGCCAGCAGCCGCGGUAAUACGGAGGAUACGAGCGUUAUCCGGAAUUAUUGGGUUUAAAGGGUGCGUAGGUGGCGUAUUAAGUCAGUGGUGAAAAGCUGCAGCUCAACUGUAGUCUUGCCGUUGAAACUGAUAUGCUAGAGAGGAGACGAGGUAUGCGGAAUGUGUGGUGUAGCGGUGAAAUGCAUAGAUAUCACACAGAACGCCGAUUGCGAAGGCAGCGUACCAGGCUCCGUCUGACACUGAAGCACGAAAGCGUGGGGAUCAAACAGGAUUAGAUACCCUGGUAGUCCACGCAGUAAACGAUGAAUACUAGAUUUUUGCGAUAUACUGUAAGAGUCUAAGCGAAAGCGAUAAGUAUUCCACCUGGGGAGUACGCCGGCAACGGUGAAACUCAAAGGAAUUGACGGGGGCCCG